UCUUGCCGCUGCACACUCUUUGGGUCUGCGUGUUUCUCUAACUGAGCGGUAACACUCGCCACUGUGGUCCACAGCUUCAUUCCUCCCGUGAGAUCACAAACCCUUCGAUCAAGAAAAACCUUCUAUCGGAAGAAGACUUCUCGUCUCAGGAUACUGUCUUAGUUCAAGCUGCUAGAACAAAAACAUCAUGGACAUGAUGACUUAAGCAACAGAAAUUUAUUUCUAACAGAUCUGGAGGCUGGUGAAAGAGGACACUGGAGGGGAUGCUGAAAAGAUCGGGAUCCAGGAGAAAGAAGGAGAAGUGGGAGCAGCAGAGGCCUGACAGACCCACAGAAUUGGACAGAGUGGCAGCUGUUCUCUGGGCAGGGCUGAGUGAAAAUGCCUGGAAAAGGAAGGGGGUGGAAGAAAUCCAAGGCCAUUUGUGCUGCUGGGAGUCGUCACCAGCGGGAGACCCAGCAGGCUGACUUCCCACUGCACUCUACAGGGAAACACAGAGAACAGGGGAAAGAGAGAAGGAAGAGAAGGCCCUGAAGUUAAACAGUGUGCAUUGCAAAGGGAUUUUCAUCAGGCAAAGGACUUUAGAUUUUAUCCUGUAAAGACUCACUGAAGAAUUUUAAGCAAAGGAGUGACACAAUCAGAUUGCCAGUUUAAAGAGUUAUCUGGAAUCAGUGUGGAGAAGAGUUUGGAGAAAGGGAAUAAAGAGGCAGGGAAAUCAGAGCUUCUGACAAAAACCUGAGGUUUGUCAAAGAUGUGGCAUACAUACACCAUGGAAUACUAUGCAGCCAUAAAAAAUGAUGAGUUCAUGUCCUUUGUAGGGACAUGGAUGAAAUUGGAAAUCAUCAUUCUCAGUAAACUAUCGCAGGGACAAAGGGCCAGGCACCGCAUGUUCUCACUCACAGGUGGGAAUUGAACAAUGAGAGCACAUGGACACAGGAAGAGGAACAUCACAGUCUGGGGACUGUUGUGGGGUGGGGGGAGGGGGGAGGGAUGGCAUUAGGAGAUAUACCUAAUGCUAAAUGAUGAGUUGAUGGGUGCAGCACCCCAGCAUGGCACAUGUAUACAUAUGUAACUAACCUGCACAUUGUGCACAAGUACCCUAAAACUUAAAGUAUAAUAAUAAUAAUUAAAAAAAAUUAGAGAGCUAGACAAAUGCAGAUUUCUUCUAAGUGAAAAAAAAACACAAAUGUAUGUUUUUAAAAAUUAAUCAUUGUUCACACUCUUCUGAGUGUUGGGCCCAUUUAAAAAUCUCUUUUUGUUUCUGUCCAUGGAUUAUUAAAGCAGCUGACUUUUAUUUUUAAUUCAUUAAUGUCUAGGAUGUUAAUCUCUUCUACCCA
rnacentral:lncRNA from 10 species